GCCCGCUUUUAGGAGGCAGGCGAAACCGAGACCCCGAAGUGACGAGAGGUUUUCAAACAGCUUCAACCGAUCUCGAGUGUGCUUGGAUUUGAGGCACAGCCCAGUCUUCUAGCAGGUAUUGACUUGGCGUACAAGUCCUCCUUCAUGCCAUGGGACUUGUUGCCAAGGAGACAGCUGGGCUUAUCUACAUGGUGGUUUACUAUGUGCUUGCUGCUACUUGAAUCUUAAUUUGCAUCGUUCACAUGAUGUUAUGGCAAACAGAAGCUAUCACACAGUUUUCUCCUUGAACAAAGGAAUCUACCUUAUAAGCGACUCAGGCCAGUUGGUACCGUCAAGCUCAGUACUGAUGACAUGGACUAGCAUUGGCUCUCCAAGAU